rnacentral:pre_miRNA from 1 species
ACAAGUUCCGGGCCGUCGGUCUACCGAGCAAUUGCACUUGCUCGGUAGAAUAUCUUCUCUACGUCGU